rnacentral:rRNA from 1 species
UACGUAGGUGGCGAGCGUUGUCCGGAUUUACUGGGUGUAAAGGGCGCGUAGGCGGGGCGGCAAGUCUGAUGUGAAAUCCCGCGGCUUAACUGCGGAACUGCAUCAGAAACUGCCGUCCUUGAGUAUCAGAGGGGAAAGCGGAAUUCCUAGUGUAGCGGUGAAAUGCGUAGAUAUAGGAGGAACACCGGUGGCGAAGGCGGCUUUCUGGCUGAAAACUGACGCUGAGGCGCGAAAGCGUGGGGAGCAAACAGGAUUAGAUACCCUGGUAGUCCACGCCGUAAACGAUGGAUACUAGGUGUGGGAGGUAUCGACCCCUUCCGUGCCGUCGUUAACACAAUAAGUAUCCCACCUGGGGAGUACGGCCGCAAGGCUGAA